AUUGAACGCUGGCGGCAGGCCUAACACAUGCAAGUCGAGCGGAGCGGCGUACGGGUGAGUAAUGCCUAGGAAUCUGCCUGGCAGUGGGGGAUAACGUCCGUAAACGGGCGCUAAUACCGCAUACUAUCAUAUGAGCCUAGGUCGGAUUAGCUAGUUGGUGGGGUACAGGCCUACCAAUGCGACGAUCCGUAACUGGUCUGAGAGGAUGAUCAGUCCGACUGGAACUGAGACACGGUCCAGCUGCGUAGGGGAGGCAGCAGAGGGGAAUAUUGGACAAUGGGCGAAAGCCUGAUCCAGCAAUGCCGCGUGUGUGAAGAAGGUCUUCGGAUUGUAAAGCACUUUAAGUUGGGAGGCGUUACCAACAGAAUAAGCACCGGCUAACUUCGUGCCAGCCGCCGCGGUAAUUC
rnacentral:rRNA from 1 species